GGUGAACGCUGGCGGCGCGCCUAACACAUGCAAGUCGAACGGUUAAAGCACCUUUUAGGUGUGUAUAAAGUGGCGAACGGCUGAGUAACACGUGGGCAACCUGCCCUCCUCUUGGGGAUAGCCUCGGGAAACCGAGGAUAAUACCCGAUACUUCAAUGUGGCCGCAUGACGACAUUGAGAAAGCUUUUGCGGAGAAGGAUGGGCCCGCGGCCUGUUAGCUUGUUGGUGGGGUAGAGGCCUACCAAGGCAAUGAUGGGUAGCUGGGUUGAGAGACCGACCAGCCAGAUUGGGACUGAGACACGGCCCAGACUCCUACGGGAGGCAGCAGUGGGGAAUCUUGCACAAGGGGCGAAAGCCUGAUGCAGCGACGCCGCGUGCGGGACGAAGGCCUUCGGGUUGUAAACCGCUUUCAGCAGGGACGAGGCGAUAAGUGACGGUACCUGCAGAAGAAGCCCCGGCUAACUACGUG
rnacentral:rRNA from 1 species